rnacentral:lncRNA from 1 species
GGUUUGUUGAGUAGGGGAAGAACACAAUCAAGGAAGAGUUUUUCAAGCAAAAAGAAAUCUAAGGCUAGAUCAAAGUUUAGAAUGAAAAAGACUAACUGUUUUGAGUGUAGAGAGCGGAGACACUACAGGAGAGAUUGUCCCAAGUUGAAAAAUUAAAAGGGGAAGCAACCAGAGAGUUUUGCGAAUAUUGUUGACAGGUUUAAUAAUUCUGAUGAUAGUGAUAGUGCU